AGCGAACGCUGGCGGCAGGCCUAACACAUGCAAGUCGAACGGACCUUUCGGGGUUAGUGGCGGACGGGUGAGUAACACGUGGGAACGUGCCUUUAGGUUCGGAAUAGCUCCUGGAAACGGGUGGUAAUGCCGAAUGUGCCCUUCGGGGAAAGAUUUAUCGCCUUUAGAGCGGCCCGCGUCUGAUUAGCUAGUUGGCGAGGUAAUGGCUCACCAAGGCGACGAUCAGUAGCUGGUCUGAGAGGAUGACCAGCCACAUUGGGACUGAGACACGGCCCAAACUCCUACGGGAGGCAGCAGUGGGGAAUCUUGCGCAAUGGGCGAAAGCCUGACGCAGCCAUGCCGCGUGGAUGAUGAAGGUCUUAGGAUUGUAAAAUCCUUUCACCGGUGAAGAUAAUGACUGUAGCCGGAGAAGAAGCCCCGGCUAACUUCGUGCCAGCCGCCGCCGUAAAAC
rnacentral:rRNA from 1 species